ensembl:lncRNA
AGGAAAUGGCAACCCACUCCAGUGUUCUUGCCUGGAGAAUCCCAGGGAUGGGGGAGCCUGGUGGGUUGCCGUCUAUGGAGUCGCACAGAGUCGGACACGCCUGAAGCGACUUGGCAGCAGUAGAAGGGUCCUGGUGGUGGGGGGCUAGCGCGGGGCACGCGCAGCGCGGCCUACCCGGCCCCCGCCCCGCCCGCAGGCCCGCAGUUCUGGUCGUUCCAGGACCGGCUGCUAGAGGCCGCCGCACGCCCGCUCACCGAGCUGGGGCUGCCCCCCGGGACGGAGGUGGACGCCGCGUUCUCCUGGCGGCUCAACGGGAAGACCUGCCUGAUCCGGGGGCGGCAGUACUGGCGGUGACACCUACUUCUUCAAGGGCCUCCACUACUGGCGCCUCCCCAAGGGCAGCAUCAGAGCCGAGCCAGACUCCCGCCAACCCAUGGGUCCCAAGUUCCUGGACUGCCCCGCCCCCACUGUGGGCCCUCGGGCCCCCAGACCCCCCAGAGCGACCCUUAAGCCCGGAGACUGCGACUGUCAGUGCGGGAUUAGUCAGGCUGCAGGACGGUCUUCGGUGCCCCUCCUGCCUCUUCUGUCCCUGCUGUUGGGGGGCCUGGCCUCCCCCUGAAGGGAACCUGCGGCUGCGUGGAAGGGAGCUGAUUGCCCACGGGGGAUCCCGCGGGUUGUGGCUGUGGGAAGUCCGUCCCAGGGGCGGGGCUCAGCCAGGAUGCAGCUGGGGAUGCAGGUGGAGCUAAGUCCAGGAGGCGGAGACACAGGGCCGGCCCUGACACUGAAUGCCCUGAGUGCUGCCUCCUGGGCCUUCCUUCCUCCCCUGCCCCUGGCCAUGACCCCGCAGGACUCUCCUUUUCCCGGAACACCUGGCCUUUCCCGGAGCUCAGGCGGCUGAAUUCCUGCAGCCCACCCCACCUGCCAACAGCAGCUGUCCCAAGUGCUUGGCUCUUUACAGGACAGCCCCACUCCCCCUUGCUGAGCCGGCUCUCCAGCCUCUGGUCUAAGGUUUCUCAUCCUGUCAUCCCCUCAUGAAGUGCCAAUCGAAGCACAUUGGUGGGGUCCCAAACCCAGCUCUGUGACCACCCCUGAGCAUGUCCCAAGUCCGGGGUGACAUCCAUGGCUCACAUGGGUGUCACAUGAGCAUCACGUGGGUGAUUCUCCUGAGACGGCCCCUGUGGCCCAUCCUUGGUUCUAAUCAGCACGCUGGUAACCAGCACCGCCCACAUUCAGUACGACACCCUCCUGCUCCUAAAACACCUCUCCCAUCUCCUCACCUGAGCCUCUGCCACCCCCUCCAGAACCGCUUGGCUCCCAUCAGCUCGAUGUUGGUGGGAAGAAAGUGGACUGGUCCCCUCUCAGUCUGGGGUCACUGUCUCCUCAGUGCCCCUGGGUGACAAGUGGAUGGAACCUGGCCACCGCAAUGACCUCCCUCCCCACUGAAUUCAGGAUCUAAAUGAAUGCCUCUGGAACUCUGCUUCUGGAAUAGUCCACACAAGAUAAUCCAGGAAGGGAGUUCCCUGGUGGUCCAGUGGUUAGAAUCUGGUGCUCUCAUUGUCGUGGCCUGAGUUAAAUUUCUAGUCCCAGAACUCAAAUCCUUCAAGCCGAUCGGUGUGGUCCAAGAAAAAGAGAGAAUGACCUAGGGAACUUGAAAAAUGCAGAUUCCAUGUCUUCACUGUGAAUCCUCACUCUGGGUCUGGGGCCAGGAAUCUGCAUUUGAACAAACUGGGUGGUUGAUGUGGGGGUGGGCUGGGGGUGGCCCCGAUCUUCAAGGGACCAGGGCCAGCAGCUGCCGUCUCAGGUCUCUGUCUUCUGACUUGUGCGUCCCCUCCGUGUUCUCCACCCAGGAGCCAACCUCUUUCUGUGUUUACAG